GGAGGGAUGGCCGAGUGGCUUAAGGCGCCUGUCUUGAAAACAGGUGUGGGGCGAAAGCUUCACCGUGGGUUCGAAUCCCUCUCCCUCCGCCU
rnacentral:tRNA from 1 species